GCAUAUCAAUAAGCGGAGGAAAAGAAACUAACUAGGAUGCCCUUAGUAACGGCGAGCGAACCGGGCAGAGCCCAACUUGAAAAUCUCCAGCCUCCGGCUGGCGAAUUGUAGUCUAGAGAAGCGCUCUCUGCGCCAGUCCGGCCCCAAGUCCCCUGGAAAGGGGCGUCAGAGAGGGUGAGAACCCCGUUGGGACCGGAUCCUGGUGCUCCACGAGACGCUUUCGCAGAGUCGGGUUGUUUGGGAAUGCAGCCCAAAGCAGGUGGUAAAUCCCAUCUAAGGCUAAAUACAGACGGGAGACCGAUAGCGAACAAGUACCGCGAGGGAAAGAUGAAAAGAACUUUGAAAAGAGAGUUAAAAAGUGCUUGAAAUUGUUGAGAGGGAAGUGAUUGGAUCCUACGGGUGCGCCCAGGCACACGCCUGCCUAACGGUUGGCUGAAUGCGCUGGGUGCUGGUCAGCAUGGGUUGGCCGGGCGGGACAAACCCGGGGAUUGCUACCCCGGCUAUGUCGCCUGGCCGACUGAGGAAAGAAGGGCGCUCUCUGAGUCCUCCGGGAACUGCGCCCUCAAGAUGCUGGCGGAAAGGUUCUAAUCAGCCCGUCUUGAAACACGGACA
rnacentral:rRNA from 1 species